GAGACACGAAAGUGGCUUGCGUUUAUUGUGUAUAACAUGCGACGUUUAAUGUACGACGAAGAUUGUAGUUUUUAGCGAUAAAAAGGUGAAUUGUGCUGGUUGGUUGCGUUUUUUCUUUUUGUGUGCAAAACGUGAGUAUAUAAUUAAAAUAAUAUAAAGAAUAUAUUAAUAAUUAUAAUAUAAUUUUAUAUUAUUAAGGUAAUUCGUGGUCUGUACAGAAGACAGUAAAAUUCAACCAAAGGAUAUAAAGGAUUUUAAAAUUAUUGAAAUAUUUUCAAAGUAAGGGAGGAUUCUAAGAUGCCUGUGAGCAUCAACAUUUGGCUCAUAAUCUGUUUCACGACUGACAAAUUUGUCAGUAUGCAGUUUAGAUGAGCUGAGAUUAUUAUAUGUAUAUAUGCAAUAAAAAUUAUAAUUAGUACCAAGAUCUAACUGUAGAUCAUUUCAGCUUUUUUAACUUUAUUGAUAUGUU